UACGAAGGGGGCUAGCGUUGCUCGGAAUUACUGGGCGUAAAGGGCGCGUAGGCGGAUAGUUUAGUCAGAGGUGAAAGCCCAGGGCUCAACCUUGGAAUUGCCUUUGAUACUGGCUAUCUUGAGUUCGGGAGAGGUGAGUGGAAUGCCGAGUGUAGAGGUGAAAUUCGUAGAUAUUCGGAAGAACACCAGUGGCGAAGGCGGCUCACUGGACCGUUGUUGACGCUGAGGUGCGAAAGCGUGGGGAGCAAACAGG
rnacentral:rRNA from 1 species